rnacentral:rRNA from 1 species
UACAGAGGUGGCAAGCGUUGUUCGGAAUUACUGGGCGUAAAGGGCGCGUAGGCGGCCAUCUAAGUCAGACGUGAAAUCCCCCGGCUUAACCUGGGAACUGCGUCUGAUACUGGAAGGCUCGAGUUUGGGAGAGGGAUGCAGAAUUCCAGGUGUAGCGGUGAAAUGCGUAGAUAUCUGGAGGAAUACCGGUGGCGAAGGCGGCAUCCUGGACUAACACUGACGCUGAGGCGCGAAAGCUAGGGGAGCAAACGGG